rnacentral:misc_RNA from 1 species
CAUUUUCUAUAGCUUAGCCUAUAAUGUAUUGGGCUCUGAGUCACAGACUAAGUAUAUGAAUUUUCUUGAGGCAGCUUUCUUCUCUAACCAGACAGUCUACAAUGUUCAGUCACAGUGUUCUCCUGACUUCACAUUUUCCCUUCCACUAGAUUUUGGUUCUGUCGCUGUUCAGCAAGAGAUAAGUUGUGUAAAAGGUUUACACUUGUGGCGUAAUAGUUCUCAUGAGAUCAAUGAUGAACUGCAUAAGGGUUACAUGAACGGGAAUCCAGAGAGAAAG